GGGUUGUGAGGUUAAGCGACUAAGCGUACACGGUGGAUGCCCUGGCAGUCAGAGGCGAUGAAGGACGUGCUAAUCUGCGAUAAGCGUCGGUAAGGUGAUAUGAACCGUUAUAACCGGCGAUUUCCGAAUGGGGAAACCCAGUGUGAUUCGUCACACUAUCAUUAACUGAAUCCAUAGGUUAAUGAGGCGAACCGGGGGAACUGAAACAUCUAAGUACCCCGAGGAAAAGAAAUCAACCGAGAUUCCCCCAGUAGCGGCGAGCGAACGGGGAGCAGCCCAGAGCCUGAAUCAGUGUGUGUGUUAGUGGAAGCGUCUGGAAAGGCGUGCGAUACAGGGUGACAGCCCCGUACACAAAAAUGCACAUACUGUGAGCUCGAUGAGUAGGGCGGGACACGUGGUAUCCUGUCUGAAUAUGGGGGGACCAUCCUCCAAGGCUAAAUACUCCUGACUGACCGAUAGUGAACCAGUACCGUGAGGGAAAGGCGAAAAGAACCCCGGCGAGGGGAGUGAAAAAGAACCUGAAACCGUGUACGUACAAGCAGUGGGAGCACGCUUAGGCGUGUGACUGCGUACCUUUUGUAUAAUGGGUCAGCGACUUAUAUUCUGUAGCAAGGUUAACCGAAUAGGGGAGCCGAAGGGAAACCGAGUCUUAACUGGGCGUUAAGUUGCAGGGUAUAGACCCGAAACCCGGUGAUCUAGCCAUGGGCAGGUUGAAGGUUGGGUAACACUAACUGGAGGACCGAACCGACUAAUGUUGAAAAAUUAGCGGAUGACUUGUGGCUGGGGGUGAAAGGCCAAUCAAACCGGGAGAUAGCUGGUUCUCCCCGAAAGCUAUUUAGGUAGCGCCUCGUGAAUUCAUCUCCGGGGGUAGAGCACUGUUUCGGCAAGGGGGUCAUCCCGACUUACCAACCCGAUGCAAACUGCGAAUACCGGAGAAUGUUAUCACGGGAGACACACGGCGGGUGCUAACGUCCGUCGUGAAGAGGGAAACAACCCAGACCGCCAGCUAAGGUCCCAAAGUCAUGGUUAAGUGGGAAACGAUGUGGGAAGGCCCAGACAGCCAGGAUGUUGGCUUAGAAGCAGCCAUCAUUUAAAGAAAGCGUAAUAGCUCACUGGUCGAGUCGGCCUGCGCGGAAGAUGUAACGGGGCUAAACCAUGCACCGAAGCUGCGGCAGCGACGCUUAUGCGUUGUUGGGUAGGGGAGCGUUCUGUAAGCCUGUGAAGGUGUGCUGUGAGGUAUGCUGGAGGUAUCAGAAGUGCGAAUGCUGACAUAAGUAACGAUAAAGCGGGUGAAAAGCCCGCUCGCCGGAAGACCAAGGGUUCCUGUCCAACGUUAAUCGGGGCAGGGUGAGUCGACCCCUAAGGCGAGGCCGAAAGGCGUAGUCGAUGGGAAACAGGUUAAUAUUCCUGUACUUGGUGUUACUGCGAAGGGGGGACGGAGAAGGCUAUGUUGGCCGGGCGACGGUUGUCCCGGUUUAAGCGUGUAGGCUGGUUUUCCAGGCAAAUCCGGAAAAUCAAGGCCGAGGCGUGAUGACGAGGCACUACGGUGCUGAAGCAACAAAUGCCCUGCUUCCAGGAAAAGCCUCUAAGCAUCAGGUAACAUCAAAUCGUACCCCAAACCGACACAGGUGGUCAGGUAGAGAAUACCAAGGCGCUUGAGAGAACUCGGGUGAAGGAACUAGGCAAAAUGGUGCCGUAACUUCGGGAGAAGGCACGCUGAUACGUAGGUGAAGCGACUUGCUCGUGGAGCUGAAAUCAGUCGAAGAUACCAGCUGGCUGCAACUGUUUAUUAAAAACACAGCACUGUGCAAACACGAAAGUGGACGUAUACGGUGUGACGCCUGCCCGGUGCCGGAAGGUUAAUUGAUGGGGUUAGCGCAAGCGAAGCUCUUGAUCGAAGCCCCGGUAAACGGCGGCCGUAACUAUAACGGUCCUAAGGUAGCGAAAUUCCUUGUCGGGUAAGUUCCGACCUGCACGAAUGGCGUAAUGAUGGCCAGGCUGUCUCCACCCGAGACUCAGUGAAAUUGAACUCGCUGUGAAGAUGCAGUGUACCCGCGGCAAGACGGAAAGACCCCGUGAACCUUUACUAUAGCUUGACACUGAACAUUGAGCCUUGAUGUGUAGGAUAGGUGGGAGGCUUUGAAGUGUGGACGCCAGUCUGCAUGGAGCCGACCUUGAAAUACCACCCUUUAAUGUUUGAUGUUCUAACGUGGACCCGUGAUCCGGGUUGCGGACAGUGUCUGGUGGGUAGUUUGACUGGGGCGGUCUCCUCCUAAAGAGUAACGGAGGAGCACGAAGGUUGGCUAAUCCUGGUCGGACAUCAGGAGGUUAGUGCAAUGGCAUAAGCCAGCUUGACUGCGAGCGUGACGGCGCGAGCAGGUGCGAAAGCAGGUCAUAGUGAUCCGGUGGUUCUGAAUGGAAGGGCCAUCGCUCAACGGAUAAAAGGUACUCCGGGGAUAACAGGCUGAUACCGCCCAAGAGUUCAUAUCGACGGCGGUGUUUGGCACCUCGAUGUCGGCUCAUCACAUCCUGGGGCUGAAGUAGGUCCCAAGGGUAUGGCUGUUCGCCAUUUAAAGUGGUACGCGAGCUGGGUUUAGAACGUCGUGAGACAGUUCGGUCCCUAUCUGCCGUGGGCGCUGGAGAACUGAGGGGGGCUGCUCCUAGUACGAGAGGACCGGAGUGGACGCAUCACUGGUGUUCGGGUUGUCAUGCCAAUGGCACUGCCCGGUAGCUAAAUGCGGAAGAGAUAAGUGCUGAAAGCAUCUAAGCACGAAACUUGC
rnacentral:rRNA from 1 species